rnacentral:rRNA from 1 species
UACGAAGGGGGCUAGCGUUGCUCGGAAUCACUGGGCGUAAAGCACGCGUAGGCGGAUCGUUAAGUCAGGGGUGAAAUCCUGAGGCUCAACCUCAGAAUUGCCCUUGAUACUGGCGGUCUUGAGACCGGAAGAGGUAAGUGGAAUUGCGAGUGUAGAGGUGAAAUUCGUAGAUAUUCGCAAGAACACCAGUGGCGAAGGCGACUUACUGGUCCGGUUCUGACGCUGAGGCGUGAAAGCGUGGGGAGCAAACAGGAUUAGAUACCCUGGUAGUCCACGCCGUAAACUAUGGAUGCUAGCCGUUGGGAAGCUUGCUUUUCAGUGGCGCAGUUAACACUUUAAGCAUCCCGCCUGGGGAGUACGGUCGCAAGAUUAAA